rnacentral:rRNA from 1 species
UACGUAGGGGGCAAGCGUUGUCCGGAAUUAUUGGGCGUAAAGCGCGCGCAGGCGGUCCUUUAAGUCUGAUGUGAAAGCCCACGGCUCAACCGUGGAGGGUCAUUGGAAACUGGGGGACUUGAGUACAGAAGAGAAGAGUGGAAUUCCACGUGUAGCGGUGAAAUGCGUAGAGAUGUGGAGGAACACCAGUGGCGAAGGCGACUCUUUGGUCUGUAACUGACGCUGAGGCGCGAAAGCGUGGGGAGCAAACGGG